CGCCUUAGCGGGUCCGGGACGGGCGCAGCUACGGAGGCCACCAACGCGGGGCUCGGCAGGAGCGCCCCGCCACCGAGCCCGACCACUCCGGCAGCAGAGGCGGCAGCGGCGGCGGCGGCUGCCAGGGCUCCCUUCCCGUGCCCAGGCGCGCCGCCGGCGACACCGUCCUGGGGCAUCUUCGCGCCCCCCGCCUGGCCCUUCACACCCUUCAACCCACCCCAGGCGGAGACCCGGAGAGACUGAGCUAGCGACGCCGCCGACUCCGCGAGCCGCGUCGGGGGCCCGCCCUCUCCGCGCCUGCCGGCCAAUCAGAAGCGGGGACGGGCCGAGCGCGGGAAGCCUGAUAGGUGGGAGAAGAAGGCGGGGAUAGAAGCUCGAGUCCCCGGAGAAAGGGGGGGCCGCAGAUCGCGCUGCGGAGCCGGGGAGCCGAACGGGCGCGUGGCCCUGGUAACUGGCACGGCCCCGCCCCUGCAGCCGCUUGCCACGUCCGAGGCUGGGCUCCCCGCCGGGCGGCCUCUGGGGCUUUUCUCUGCCAUUCCCCUUUUCUGUCGGAAACCCUUAGAGCCCGUAACGAAGGUUAGCCUUUACGUAAUAGCCCGCGGUUCAAAAGUGACCUCAUCUGGUCCUCCCUGGGAAGCGAGGGUCUUAUUACGCCCAUUUCACAGCGCAGGGAACUGAGGCAAACGUGCCCAGGGUCACCCAAUUAGGAAGCGUCUGUAGCUCCGCCCGCACGUCUUAAGGCCCAUUGCCCACCCAGACAGCCUAUCGGUGAACCGUGGGAAGUGGCGUUCUUGUCUGAUUCAAGAAUUGUAACGCUGUUUUCCCCAAUUAUGCAGAAGCGGAGAGGGGGGGGGAGGCGCAUGCAGGGGUGCCAGCAAAAGGCGUUUACCCUGGUGGGAGGAAAUUGUCAGCUCAGACAGACCUGCCGGGCACAAAUUGAUUCGUCAUAAUUAUUCUAAUCAACCUUUUCCCCCUUUUCUUAUCGCUUAAAAUCCCACCCGGCAGGAUCCCCUCAUGGCUUUAGAAAUAUCACUAAUGGAAGCCAUUUCAAAGUUAUAAUUUGUCGAAAACUUCACAGUCAGGAUUAAGCAGGGGCUCAAAAUUUUAUUUAACUUUGCUUUCCUCAAACAGACCAAGGCAAAAAUGUCGGCAAAGCCUAAGAAUUAAUUUCCUGUUCUGCAUAAUUAAUGCUGUAGCUAGCACCUGUACAUGGAUUUAAGAUCCUGUGAAGUGGAUGCUCUUGUUAUCAUCGUCACCAUUUUCCAGGUGAGGAAAGAGGUGGAAAAAAGAGGUGACACGACGAGUGGGCUCCCGAAGCAGGAUUCGAAUUCGUGAAGUUCUGUUUCCAAAUCCGGCGCCCUACUGACCUUUCCAAGAGCUGACACGUCGGUGGAGGUAGCAGACAGUGGGCUUGACUGGAUUAAGAUAUUUCUCAUCUAAGACUGUUUACGACCUUUUACAAACUUUCCUGAUAGAAAAAUGAUGGUGGGGGACCCCAUUUGAGGUUUUUUGGCAGAGGUUUGCCGAUCUUUCUCCGGUUCAUUUUACGGAUGAAGAAACUGAGGCCCACAGGAUGAAGGGUCACACAGGAAGUGUCUGAGACUAGAUUUAAAUUCAGGGCGAGUCCUCCUGACUUCUAUUCACUGAAGUCAGUGAAUCUGAUUGAAAACUGAUAAGAUUUCCUUCAUUCAGUGAAUCUGGAAAGGACUUUAGACUGGAGAAUAUUAUUCCCUAAUAUGUUUCAUUAGGGAAAAAAAAGGCUUCAGUAUACUUCAACAUAAAGGCCUCAAAAAGAAUGAUAGGUGUCAAGAAGAAAUAGAGCUAUCGGGAAUGAUGAUGACUAGCAUGUAUUUAGCCGUUUACAUCUAUUAUCCUACGGGAUGCUCACCACAGCCCUGUUAUAUAUUGUUGUAUAUGUUAUAUAAUCCCAAUUGGGUCCUCUUUACUGCAAGGUAAAAAUCCCUAAUUAAUUUGCCUCCCCCCAGCGGCUCAGCUGAGAAGCUUACCUCCCCGUCACACUGAGAAAACUGGGAGCAUUCCCCAGGAGCUGCGUCCUCCCCCCUGCUCCACCGGCUCCCCCUUCGCCACCACACUCCCACCACUCCCUUCUCCUUGCUGCCUGGAUCCCUUCCAGCCGCUUGCUCCCUCUAUCAUCCCUCUCCCACUAGUUGUCUCCCUGUCUUUGGCUGCCCCUUCUGGGCUCUGGACUUGCGUCACUAACCGCCUGCUGGACACUUCCAAGUGGACUUCUACAACAAGUGUCCAAAACAGACUUCGUUACCCUUCGCCCAGACGCCCCGGCUGCAAACUUCCCUGUUUCUCUCACGAGUAAUGGAUGAGGGGCAGCUCCAGGCUGAUUUAUAAAUGAAGCCGGCCUCUCCUUCCUGCUGUUUUUCCUUUCUUCCUCCUGCCCUUUCUCCUGUGAUGAUCUUGGACCAGAAUUACGGACCACCCGGGAAUAAUGCACAGCCGAGAGCACUGCCUUCUGCUCCAACAAUCAAGUAUUUAUUUAGUGUGGCCGUGUGCUGGGAGCUGCCUCCGAGCCGGCCCUCCCCAGCCUGGUGGCUCCCACUUGGGCUCAGGGGCAGAGCCGCCCCAUCCAGGACGCAGGACAUGGGGCCUUUGGCCCGGAAGGGCCUUAAAGGUCCCUGAUCCACCCCUGCUCGCUUGACAAACAAACCAGGGCCCAGGAGAAGCCCGAGAUUUACCCCGCUAGCAAGGGGCCAAAACCUCCUGGUUCCAAAGCCAUGCUCUUUCCAUGACUCCACUCUCAGAGAAAAGGAGGUCAGCGGAAAGGCUGACACGCUCCAUUUCUGGUUCCAGGGCUGGGCAGGAAAGGUGGAUAGCCCGGGGAGGAAUCGGCCUGGAAGGUGAGUAGGGCUCCUGGAAGCUCCUCUAGGAGAGGGAAGGGGGAAAUCAGAAUAUCCAGGCCCGUCGCUCUCCACAGGACCGCCCCAGGACCAUUUUCAGACCUCCACUUUCCGACUCUCCCUUCUCUCAGCCUGAGGAUGGGCCCAGAUAGCCUGGUCUGUGGCUGGCAGGAGGGGGAGAUUUUCUCAAUGUCACAGAGCAGGUCAGGAGGUAAGCUGAGACCAGAACUGUCCGUACCGCUGCUGCCACGGGGCUGGAUGGUAACAUGUGCUGCUGGCAGAGACCCGGAAAGCUCGUGGCCCGGACAGGACGCCCAGACAGGGCAGAGGCUGGCAGGAAGGGCUCCGAGGUCAGCUCUCUGCCUCAUCUCCCUCCCCGGAAGCAGAGGCUCCAGGCCAGCGUAAAAGGGAUCCCAGUUUAUUUGGCCUCUUGCAAGGGCUGUUUUCCUUCCCUCCUGAGCCCUUCCCUGCCCCUCAGUCCCAGCUGCUUGUACCUUUGCAAAUGACCUCAGCCGUGUUUGUCACGUACACACAUGAACACGCCAUCUCCGCUAUCAGUUGCUGGAAUGUAAGCUCCCUGAGCUCAGGCCAGAGCGGUUCCUUGUGUUUCCUUUUCCCUUCUGACCUGGUUUUUCGGGUGCAGCAGACAAAUAUGGAAAUACCUUUAGAGGAAUUGUCUGUGUGUGACCCGUAUCGGAUUGCUUGCUGACUGGGGGAGAGGGGAGGGAGAAAAUUUGGGGACACACAGUUUUUGCAAAGGUGAAUUUCGAAAACUAUCAUUGCGUGUAUUUGGAAGAUUUGCUUAAAAACAUUUUUUUUCUGAACCGUAGCAGCAAAAAAUAAAAAUAAAAUGUUAUUGGA